AAUGAACGCUGGCGGCAGGCUUAACACAUGCAAGUCGAACGCCCCGCAAGGGGAGUGGCAGACGGGUGAGUAACGCGUGGGAAUCUACCUUUUGCUACGGGAUAGCUCCGGGAAACUGGAAUUAAUACCGUAUGUGCCCUUCGGGGGAAAGAUUUAUCGGCAAAGGAGGAGCCCGCGUUGGAUUAGCUAGUUGGUGGGGUAAAGGCCUACCAAGGCGACGAUCCAUAGCUGGUCUGAGAGGAUGAUCAGCCACAUUGGGACUGAUACACGGCCCAAACUCCUACGGGAGGCAGCAGUGGGGAAUAUUGGACAAUGGGCGCAAGCCUGAUCCAGCCAUGCCGCGUGAGUGAUGAAGGUCUUAGGAUUGUAAAGCUCUUUCACCGGGGACGAUAAUGACGGUACCCGGAGAAGAAGCCCCGGCUAACUUCGUGCCAGCAGCCGCCGUAA
rnacentral:rRNA from 1 species